rnacentral:misc_RNA from 1 species
UCCGGUUUGGCACCGGCAGUCCCCCUAGAGUCCCCGGCAUUAUCCGCUGGUAACUAAGGGCAAGGGUUGCGCUCGUUGCGGGACUUAACCCAACACCUCACGGCACGAGCUGACGACAGCCAUGCAGCACCUUACGAUCUGUGUAUUGCUACAAAAUAAGCUUUCACCUACGGUCAAACCGCAUUCUAGCCCAGGUAAGGUUCCUCGCGUAUCAUCGAAUUAAACCACAUGCUCCGCCGCUUGUGCGGACCCCCGUCAAUUCAUUUGAGUUUCAAUCUUGCGAUCGUACUUCCCAGGUGGGAUACUUAAUGCUUUCGCUCAGACACUAACAGUGUAUCGCCAACGUCGAGUAAUCAUCGUUUAGGGCGUGGACUAC